GCCCACUAAAAUUACGUUCAAGAUAGAACUAGAUUUCUAUAGGAGGUUGCUGAGACAGCUCUCACUCUGAUUGGUGCAUCUUUUGCCUCUAGACAGAGAAGGGCUUCGGUAGAUUUGUCGGACUGUCGAGUAAGCAGUCUGGCUAGCGGUAUCGUUGCUGCGGCUGGAAUGGGGGGCUUGGCCCCAGGCCAACAGUGGUUAGAAAGGCUCAUUGUUGGGUGUAACUAACUACCAAAUUUAAAGCUAUUGGUAGGUGACUCAACGCAGCCUUAAACGGGGCCGCAGUACCCAGUAAAAGGCUGUGCUAAUUGUUUUGAGAACGGUACCUUGGCUAUCUAAUAUCCAUUCAACUGAAUUACCUGUUUUUUUGCAUGAUAUUGCUGUGCAACAGCAAUUCUGAGUCAAAACUGGACGACAUGAAGGGGUGUGUAAGUAACAUUGACUGCAUUAAUGCCAGAUAGUUGCAAUGACACGGCUUGGUAAACUUGCAAAAUAUCACCUUGCAAGACAGUCCUCUGAAUAACUCAGCAAGCUAACUUGGCUAAAGCUUAUACUUAGUAGUUUUUAGCAUAAGGUCGAUGAUUAGCGAAGUUCUCUAGCAGAGAUGUUUAACAGUAGAAUUGCAUAUCGUAUAUUUCGACCAUGAAACAAAACCUUUGCAUGGAAGACGGCUAACUGGGUCGCUUGCAGUUACCUAAUGCAAGUCCUCCUACAUACUCCAAGUGUAACGUUUGCCAGCUAACCUUAGCAUAGCAUGGUUUGAGCUUUCCAGCUGCCAAACGAGGGCUAACUGGGCAUUGUGUCUGUAUUUGACGAGACAAUUACUCAAUCUAUCUAGCUCAAUAUUUGUUAGAAAUGUCAUCAACGCGUGAAUGUUAUUAGUGAGCAAUGAUCAUGCCUGACUGCAACUGCUAGCCUGAGAAGUGUGCGGCUUUGUUCUUCAGUUGUGGUGGAGUCCAACCGGAAAGUCGUGGCAAUGCGACCAAAUUUGGUAAAUAAAGGGGAAAUAACUGGAAGCGUUGAGCCCUUCAUAGUCAUUUAGCGAUCCCGUUGUCUCUGUUCGGACAAUUUCCUUUAACAUAUAUGAAACCAAUUUCGACGCAGUACAUAUUUUAGUAUGAUGGAUAACCUUACCUAACUAUAUAAAGGUCGUGAACAUCACUAGUAGUCUAACGUUAGUUAUUUGUUGUUCACUGUUGACGUCAGGGUUAAUAAGUCUACGAUUUGACAUUAGCUCCUGGUUGUUUCGAAGCUAUCCAGCAGCUGCCCUGGCUAUCAGCAAACUGAAUACUUUGCACAUUGAUAAGAGGUUUGGUUGCAAGACAUACUUAUUGCAGUACAGUAUGUGUUUCAUGUCAUAUCAGUUGGGUUUGCAGAACUGCCCGUGUGCUAUGGUAACAAAAUGACCGUACUGAACUAAAGAGUUGGUAUUCUCCUUCUAUCACCUCGUCGCUCCAUUAGAAUAGCUCACAAUGACAUCUAGGCAGAGAGCAUUUCACUGACCUUAACGGGCAGUCAACAAGAAACCGAUUUUUUUGCAACUUAUUCCAAGGUUUACCGUUGUGGGUGCUUCAUUUUACUAGUAUUCCCCCCUCACUCCUGUCUGGCGCGCCGGGUCUGCAGUGGAGCUGUUAACAGAUGAUCCCGAAACCGGCAUCUAAGUGAGAACCAGAGCAAUGGGACGCUCCCUGAGUGGCAACAUCAGAGUCCCUUUCUCUUCCGAAAUGGAGGGGAUCGACAAUGAAUACUCAACAUUCCUUUCACCUGAUGUUGGAUAGAUAGGGUUUUUAUCAUGAAAAAAAACCUACAGGGGAGAUUUUACCCCCAUAUUGUAAUGUUUUUAUUUCCAUAGUCAUUUUCUUUUAUGUGUUUUUGUGUUUGUUUUGGUUGACUGUACGGUAUGAGGUAAAGCUCUACCAUGAGUGUGGGGCAUGGCUCCCUCUGUGUGUCUGUGUAUUUUAUUAUAGUUUUUUUUUUAUUAAUGUGUUAGGAAAACUCGGGACUCUAAGCCUUGAUGAUAUUUAAACCUUCUUGGGGGAGACGGAGGGAAAGAUGCCAAAAAAAAAGGGGGGGGGGGGAGAAAGCAACCUGAGGUAGAGCUGACAUGAUUGGAGCUACCCAGAAGCCCAUGCGUCUGUGUUUACAAACCCCACAGGUGGCCCCACACGGCCGACAGCCCUUGCAGCAGCAUGUCUUCCACUUGUCCACUCAACACACUUUGCACUGCUUGUUUCAUUCUCCACAUCCACUGUAUAUGUCGUUUUAGUUCGUAACCCCAGGCCCCAGCACCACAACCAUUUGUCAGCGCCCAACUCCCAGUUCAGACCUAUUCAAAGCCAAGCACAGCUCGUUUGUCUUGUUGAUUCACUCUGGUCUAUGCACUUGUUCACAAGUGCUCUGAUCAGGAUCUCAAAAGUCCCUGUGUCUUUUCUGUAUUUAAGCUUUAUGCAAGUCAGAACAUGUGCACCUCUGAACGAGAUGGCAAAAACAUCAGAAAUCCUACAGACAAUAAAACACUCAAUCUACAGGCACACCUUCCACGUGUGCUAACGACCCUCUUUUGUGAGUCACACACUAAAGAUCUAUGUUUAAUCUCAUUCUGAUACCACGGUCAAUCUAAUUUCACUAUUCACACUCUUGACAGUUAUUUCCUGAGGCUAAGAGUCCCUGCUUAUCAUGUAUUUUAGUAAGUGCUUUCUGAGCUCAUGGUGUGUUCAUUUUGUUUUAUUUUUAGAAUGUUGCUUUUUAGUUUUGUUGUUUUCUUUUCUUUUGGUUCUGUUUUGCUUUGCUAGUAUAAAAAGAUAUCUAUAAUAAUGUGCGUUGUAAUUUAGAAGUAGCUGUAGAAAUGCAUUGUUUCCUUGUGGUAAGUGAUUGAGAUGCUGCCACGGAAGUAAGACACUGAUGAAUGGUGCUAUUUUGGACUUUAAUCUGCUACUUGGUGAGGUAGCUCUGGUGGGUUUCAUUUUAUAUGUUCAUGUUCUGAGAAGGUGUUGGUUCUUUGUGGUCUGGACGUUGUAUACUUGGUCUGGAUUGACUUUUUUUUUCCUGUUGAUUUUCUGUGCGGCUUUCUCAUUGGAUUUAUGGAUGAAACAAACAAAAGAGGAAAAUAGGCACAGUUGAUAUUUUCAGAAGGUGGCGAUCCAAUCACGUGUGGAGGGUGGGAGCAAUCACAAAACUGCAAUCCUUUAAAAGAGCUGUUUUGCCCCCUCAGCACAGAUAAGACUCGGACAUGAUAGUUAUAGGCUAGUUCCCAGCACAGGUCACUUUUAGAAAAUGUAAUGCUCCCUCUAAUUAUGUACCACAUGAAGAGUCACACUAACUAUAUAAAGAGUGUAUUUUGUGGCGCAGUACUGUCAUGGGUACAUCAACCUGAGAUUUGCACAUUGCAUAUUAAGAAUGCUUCCAUCAAUCAAUCAAUCAAUCGAAGAAGUCUCAACACAUGCCACAGCAUUAAAUGAGCUUUCUGCUUCUUCCAUUGCUUUGCAUAGUUUAGAGGCUAUGAUGUGGGGAUGGGGGGAGGGUACGAAAUGGCGAACCAUUUUGCCAUAGUCCCUUCCAAAAGCCAUGCACCUUCUUCAGACGCAGCUCGUCUGGGGCUCAGGGGUGUUAGAUGCUGCAUCUUUACCAGCAGGCCAAGACCUGUACGUCUGAUAAUCUAACUGUCUCUGGUCAGACAGUCAAUCUUAAAUUGUGAUGCACAUAAUUUUUUUUAGAAAUGCAUUUUCCAAAAAAAGCCAAAUAUGUAGCAUAAAGAAGCUGAACAAUCUUCAUAAUGACUUACCUAUUUUGUAAAGUAAUAUUAGAAUUAUUUUUCUUUGAUAAAAUAUGAACCAAAAAGCUUUCUAUGAAUUAUUUUGUCUAGUGAGGUUAACUUAAGUAUUGUUAUUCAGUAUUUGCAGUUUUGUCUUUGCUUCCUGUCGAUUCAUACUUUUAAAAGUCUCAAUAUGACGACCAACUUGAAAGCCCACAUUAGUUUCUUUGUCUUCCAUUCUUACUCCAGUAUGGAGGACCCUCCUAGCUUACUGUAGUUCUUCCUUGACUCCAUUAUCCUGUCCACUUGCAUGUUCUGUGCUGUUUUGUUUCUCUUCAGUACUUUUUCAAUUAUUCUUCCUCAUAGACUAGGUAUGCCAGCUGUCUUGUACAUAGCAAGUGAUUAGUAUAGGCAGGGGCGGCAACAGUAUGAGAUAAUAUGUAUUAUUGAAUGUGUAUGAUUGGUUUUAAAAACUAAUGACAAAAAAAAACACACAAAACCAGCUUAGUUACAGUAUCUUAAUUAUGAAGCACUGAUAGUAUUCCAUGUACUUUUGGCAAAUUUAGCAGUAGUUAAAUAAAUUUGCAAGCUCUGAAAAAUGAAUCACCGUUUCUGUGUUUUAUUUCCCCCCUCUAGUUCUAGAAGCACCGUAGGCAUUGCCCCAUACUGGUUGAUAAAAUUCUGCAGUACACACAUCUGCGUUUAGUCAUUGGAUAUGGCAGAAAGAAAACAGAAGUUCAGUGUUUUCUUCGGGAGAAGGCAACUUAAUACACUCAUUUAAUUGUGAACUGAUGGGCUCCUAUGCAGUGUUCAUGGAUAAUGAUGGAAGUUUAAAGCAGAUCUGGGUUGACCUUUAAAAAGCACGCCCAUAUGUAGCAGCACCAUUUCCUGCCCCAGACAUGAACACCAUGGUUCAGACCUGCCAGAGAGACCAUUAGUGUUUUCUUCAAGGUGCUUUAAGUCACAAUAUGAGCCCUCUUGGCAGAUUUGGUUUCUGCCAUUUUAAAGGAAAGAAGUUUGCAAGGUCAUUGCACACCUUUACCCUUUACCAUCCCUACCUUAAGACUAUCAUUGAUGUUCUACACUGACACAUUUAAUGUGGCACGUGUGUGUCUCAUUCCUCAGAUUUGUAUUAUACAAUAUUAUAUUUCU
ensembl:lncRNA